rnacentral:rRNA from 1 species
GGAGGAAUAUUGGACAAUGGGCGAAAGCCUGAUCCAGCAAUACCACGUGAGUGAUGAAGGCCUUAGGGUUGUAAAACUCUUUCAGCAGGGAAGAUAAUGACGGUACCUGCAGAAGAAGCUCCGGCUAACUCCGUGCCAGCAGCCGCGGUAAUACGGAGGGAGCGAGCGUUGUUCGGAAUUACUGGGCGUAAAGAGCACGUAGGCGGCUUUGUAAGUUGGGUGUGAAAUCCCAGGGCUCAACCCUGGAACU